rnacentral:rRNA from 1 species
CCUACGGGAGGCAGCAGUGAGGAAUAUUGGUCAAUGGGCGUAAGCCUGAACCAGCCAAGUCGCGUGAGGGAUGAAGGUUCUAUGGAUCGUAAACCUCUUUUAUAAGGGAAUAAAGUGUGGGAUGUGUCCUAUUUUGUAUGUACCUUAUGAAUAAGGAUCGGCUAACUCCGUGCCGGAAGCCGCGGCAAUACGGGGGAUCCGAGGGUUAUCCGGAUUUAUGGGCGUAAAGGGUGCGUAGGCGGCCUGUUAAGUCAGCGGUGAAAGGCUGUGGCUCAACCAUGGAAUUGCAGUUGAAACUGGGAGGCUUGAGUAUGUGUGAGGCAGGCGGAAUGCGUGGUGUAGCGGUGAAAUGCUUAGAUAUCACGCAGAACACCGAUGGCGAAGGCAG